GUGCCUGCACAACAGAAACACCCCAAUUAGAAGGGAAAGCAGAGCAACAGCAAGAGAUGCGUGAGGUGUCUCAAAGACAAGGUGAGAGCCAGCACGUUCAGCAUGCAUAUGAAGAAGUCCACUUGCCACCACCAAGAAAGGUGGGGUGGAGUGACCCAGUUCUAUCCUUCACCCAAUUCUGCCAUGCAGCAUCAAAGGAACUCUGCCUAGACCUCAGCUACAACCAGAAAGAGGGAAAUGCCAAACAUGUAGCUCUCCCUCUUUCCUUCCCCUGGGUCAUGAGAAGAGACAGCAAGACAUGUCAGCUGGACAUCACAGAUGGGACUUGCCUUUAUGAAGGCCUCAUCAGUGACAUGUGAACCAAAUGAGCACAAACCUCACAAGUUCAACUUGCCUGGGAAAAAUCCUGGUGAAAAUUUGUGCAGAGAAACAGUCAAGACUUUUGAGGUGAAACUAAAGGCAUCCUCGACUCCUAUUAAGAAAUGAAAAAAAAAAUUUCAAGCAUCACUUAUAUAAAUGACAGAGUCUGAACACACAGAGUUGCCUGAUACACACAGGGCAGCAAGCAGAGAAGGAGAACCAUAAGCAAAGCAGAAAUGCAGAUGUGGCUCAAUAAAUAUAUCCUCAAUCUACAGAGACUGAAGUUCAACUGCAGCAAAGAUCACAACUGCUAUGAAUCUGGCAGGUCUUAUGCUAAUUCAGAAUAGCAGCACUUGCCUGUGCUGCUAGGCCUGCGAAGCUGGGAGAGGGAUCCGAGCAGGGCUCACUUGGCCAGAGUUUGGCUCUGAUCAGAACCAAUGCUACUGGGCUCUCUCACAUUUUCUGAAUGCUGCUGUGGUUCAAAUGCCUUUUCCUUAAAGACAGUAUUAAGACAGUGGGCAUGGAGAGGGAAAAAAGAAGUAAUAGGAAACUUAACAGAAAGCAAAUGCAGGGAGGAAACGGAACAAAAUGAAACACAUCAUAAAAUUUAGAAGAGCAGGAAAUGUUAAGUGGUGUAGAAAUAAUGUCCCUGAAGGAGGAAGCAGUUUUAGCAAGGCCAGCUCUGCCUCUAGACUUACAGCAUAAAGCCUUCUUUUAAAAGCACCCUUUACUACUGGCUGCUUCCCUGUUGCAAUGGACCCUUAAACAAUUAAACCCUGUCAGCAACUGCUCUGGCAGGAUGGGAGACUGGGACACGUUAUCUGAUGCUUUAGGUACAAGACUUCUGCCUAGACCCACAAGAGAGGUCUGAGGAGCAGCAUAGGACAAGUCUGUAAAGCAGGACAAGGCAUAAAUGGAUUGAGGGAACUCAACCGCACUCAAAGGAGCUGAAGCCAUGGCUGUUGCAGCAAGUAAACCCCUGCUGUGCAGACAGGCCUCACCUUCUCCCAUUCCCCCCUGAGUCUGUGCAGCUGUACUGUUUGCAGGCUUUGCUGGGCCUUACCAUCCCCAUGAUGUAAAUCCAAAUCGAUAUAAAGGACACGGUCAAAUUUCUGGCGCAGUCGCAGGAUCCCCAAGACAGCGUCAUUCACAUAACAGAAACCAGAAGCUUCAUCCCUGUGAAAACAAUGUCUGUGACACUGAAUAUUGCCAAUGCAAUCACCACCGAUUUCAGCAUUCUCACUUUGACUUUGCAAGUGUCCACCUCACAGGGGCAUGGAGGAGUACGAAAACUCAGCCCAGCAGUGACCAAGAGACAGGUCAGGAACAGCUCAAAGCAUGGCUGGGAAGCACAGAGAACAGGACUGCUUGUGCCAAGUGCUUCUCAACUCUGGGCUUUAUGGCAGCUGGGAAAGUACAAAUGGAAUGUCCCACAUGGAGUCCCUCACGAUACAGCACCUGGGCUCAGCCAGGAGAGAGUCCCAGCAGCUAAAGAGAGGACAGGCAUACUAUGUAAAGAUUAAUCACUGACAUUCAUCAGGGACAGCUUACUUGCUGGCAUCAAAGGAACAAGAAAGUUUCUUAACCCCUACUCCAGCCUCAUUCCAAAGUCAAGUCCCCAUCAUGACUUAGCACCAGUCCACACGCAUUCUUAAAUCUGGCCUAGAUAGCUAUUUUAAAGCGAGGCUUCAUACAUGGCAACAGGAGUACCCAAAUCCCUUUUCCACAAAUUAUAGUGGGAUACAAGUUGCACCUCUGGGAAAUUCCUCUUGACUUCCAGUCACAGCACCCAGCUCAUUCUCUCUGACAUUUCCUGCUCAGCAAUAGCUGGGAACAGUGAGGAGCAUGCCAGGAGUGGCAGAACUACACUCACUUUCACUCUCUGCAAGUGCCAUGGAGCACAGGUGUUUCCCAGUGACUCUGUUCAUUUACAGUAAUGCAGAAAAUGGAGAUGUUAACAGGUAUCCUGAAAAUCUGACUCAACUGUGAUUAUGUAUUUCUCCCCUCCCUCACAGCCCACAAGGAAGCAUGUCCUGGGCACUCUCUGAAUGCUGUAAUACAAAUCUCUGAAACUCCAGGCCAAGUAGAGCAGGACACCAGUUCAGUCAAAAGCAGAGCAGUGUCGGAGCUGCACUUCAGGACCAGCACCUGGGAUUCCCCCGUGCUGCCCCAAAUCCACCCAGCAAAGCUCUGAGUAUCACUGUCAGAAAGGAGGGUGAGACUGCCUUGAGAAAAGGCUCUUACUCAGCAACUUACCUGCAACCCCAAAGGCAUCCUCUGAACCAAGAGCUUCCAAAGCCCCAGGUCAUUCCUACCUUUAGGACCCUGGAAAGCAACUAAACCACCAGGUAGCAGGUGUUUUUUGACAAAAGGAAUGUAUUUUGCUAGGACACAGGUCCUAGAAUCAAGUACCUGCAGUUU